rnacentral:rRNA from 1 species
GUGGGCGAUUAUAGCAAUAAUGUUCCACCUCUUACCAUUCCGAACAGAGAAGUUAAACUUAUUAGCGCCGAUGGUACUAGUUUUUCUGGAAGAGUAGGUAUCGCCC